rnacentral:rRNA from 1 species
UACGUAGGGUGCGAGCGUUAAUCGGAAUUACUGGGCGUAAAGCGUGCGCAGGCGGUUUUGUAAGUCAGAUGUGAAAUCCCCGGGCUCAACCCGGGAACUGCAUUUGAGACUGCAAAGCUAGAGUGUGGCAGAGGGGGGUGGAAUUCCACGUGUAGCAGUGAAAUGCGUAGAUAUCUGGAGGAACAUCAGUGGCGAAGGCGACACCCUGGACUCAUACUGACACUGAGGUGCGAAAGCGUGGGGAGCAAACAGGAUUAGAUACCCUAGUAGUCCCUGAA